rnacentral:rRNA from 1 species
AGUGAACGCUGGCGGUAGGCCUAACACAUGCAAGUCGAACGGCAGCACAGAGGAGCUUGCUCCUUGGGUGGCGAGUGGCGGACGGGUGAGGAAUACAUCGGAAUCUACUCUGUCGUGGGGGAUAACGUAGGGAAACUUACGCUAAUACCGCAUACGACCUACGGGUGAAAGCAGGGGAUCUUCGGACCUUGCGCGAUUGAAUGAGCCGAUGUCGGAUUAGCUAGUUGGCGGGGUAAAGGCCCACCAAGGCGACGAUCCGUAGCUGGUCUGAGAGGAUGAUCAGCCACACUGGAACGGAGACACGGUCCUGGCUCCUACGGGAGGCAGCAGUGGGGAAUAUUGGAUAAUGGGCGCAAGCCUGAUCCAGCCAUACCGCGUGGGUGAAGAAGGCCUUCGGGUUGUAAAGCCCUUUUGUUGGGAAAGAAAUCCAUCUGGUUAAUACCCGGGUGGGAUGACGGUACCCAAAGAAUAAGCACCGGCUAACUUCGUGCCAGCAGCCGCGGUAA